rnacentral:rRNA from 1 species
UACGGGGGGGGCAAGCGUUGUUCGGAAUUACUGGGCGUAAAGGGCUCGUAGGUGGCCAACUAAGUCAUGCGUGAAAUCCCUCGGCUUAACCGGGGAACUGCGUCUGAUACUGGAUGGCUUGAGUUUGGGAGAGGGAUGCGGAAUUCCAGGUGUAGCGGUGAAAUGCGUAGAUAUCUGGAGGAACACCGGUGGCGAAGGCGGCAUCCUGGGCCAACACUGACACUGAGGAGCGAAAGCCAGGGGAGCAAACGGG